rnacentral:tRNA from 3 species
GGCAGGUUGCCCGAGCGGCCAAUGGGAGCGGACUGUAAAUCCGUCGGCUUACGCCUACACAGGUUCGAAUCCUGUACCUGCCACC